CUGAAACUGACAUUGUAGUGGAAGUGAAAGUGUCAGUGGAGGAUGCGAGGCGUGCCGAAAAUGUGCAUUACAAGAAAAGGCCGCAACGAUUGUGGAAUUGCAGCAGGAAGAUGCUGAAAAUACUGAUAGUGCAAAUAUAGAGGGUCACUCGCAAUCGCAAGAGAGCAAGUGAGUGGAUUAUAUCGUUGGACUACGGAGAUAGUGCUCUUCCUCCUCGAUACAUACGCAGAGAGAGAGGAGAAAUUUUCCAGCGGGAAGUUUUCCAAAAAAAAAAUUUGGGAAGACAUUGCGGAAACUAUGAGAAGCAAAAUUCCACUAAUAACUGGACCUCGAUGUGCAGCCAAGAUGAGGAGUUUAAAAAAAACGUACAAGAGUGGCAAAGACCAUAAUAACAAAAGUGGCAGUGACAGACGAACAUGGUUGUUAUAUGAAGGAAAAACAAAAUCUCCUGGGCUUCGCCGGUUGCAGUACCUUCUUCGACAGGAGUCUCCUCGCAAAGAAGUCAGGAAUCAGAGGGCGAAGUGUCAUCCGAUUUAUCCUCGAGCCGGAAGACAAGA